UUGGAGGGCAAGUCUGGUGCCAGCAGCCGCGGUAAUUCUAGCUCCAAUAGCGUAUAUUAAAGUUGUUGCAGUUAAAAAGCUCGUAGUUGAAUUUCGGGAUUGACGUAAUGGUCGUGCCUUAAGGGGUAUGAACUGUUACUGUUGAUUUCUCACCUUCUGGAGAAACUUGAUGUCCUUAAUUGGGUGUCUUGCGGAUCCAGGACCUUUACCUUGAAAAAAUUAGAGUGUUUAAAGCAGGCAUUUUUGCUCGAAUACAUUAGCAUGGAAUAAUAGAAUAGGACGGCAUGGUUCUAUUUUGUUGGUUUCUAGGAUCACCGUAAUGAUUAAUAGGGAUAGUUGGGGGCAUUAGUAUUCAAUUGUCAGAGGUGAAAUUCUUGGAUUUAUUGAAGACUAACUACUGCGAAAGCAUUUGCCAAGGAUGUUUUCAUUAAUCAAGAACGAAAGUUAGGGGAUCGAAGACGAUCAGAUACCGUCGUAGUCUUAACCAUAAACUAUGCCGACUAGGGAUCGGAUGAUGUUAAUUUUUUAAUGACUCAUUCGGCGCCUUACGGGAAAC
rnacentral:rRNA from 1 species